rnacentral:rRNA from 1 species
GCAAGUCGAACGCAGUAGCAAUACUGAGUGGCAAACGGGUGAGUAUAAUGUGGGAAUCUGCCUUUUGGUUUGGAAUAACACGAGGAAACUUGUGCUAAUACCGGAUAAGCCCUUACGGGGAAAGUUUUAACGCCGAAAGAUGAGCCUGCACUUGAUUAGCUAGUUGGUAAGGUAAAGGCUUACCAAGGCAACGAUCAAUAGCUGUUCUUAGAGGAAGACCAGCCACAUUGGGACUGAGACACGGCCCAGACUCCUACGGGAGGCAGCAGUGGGGAAUCUUGCACAAUGGGGGAAACCCUGAUGCAGCGAUGCCGCGUGAGUGAAGAAGGCCCUUGGGUUGUAAAACUCUUUCGUCGGGGAAGAAAAUGACUGUACCCGAAUAAGAAGGUCCGGCUAACUUCGUGCCAGCAGCCGCGGUAAUACGAAGGGACCUAGCGUAGUUCGGAAUUACUGGGCUUAAAGAGCUCGUAGGUGGUUAAAAAAGUUGAUGGUGAAAUCCCAAGGCUCAACCUUGGAACUGCCAUCAAAACUUUUUAGCUAGAGUGUGAUAGAGGUAAGUGGAAUUUCUAGUGUAGAGGUGAAAUUCGUAGAUAUUAGAAAGAACACCAAAUGCGAAGGCAACUUACUGGGUCACUACUGACACUGAGGAGCGAAAGCAUGGGUAGCGAAGAGGAUUAGAUACCCUCGUAGUCCAUGCCGUAAACGAUGUGCGCUAGACGUUGGAAAUAUAUUUUUCAGUGUCGCAGCGAAAGCAUUAAGCACACCGCCUGGGGAG